rnacentral:rRNA from 1 species
GACGAACGCUGGCGGCGUGCUUAACACAUGCAAGUCGAACGGAAAGGCCCUGCUUUUGUGGGGUGCUCGAGUGGCGAACGGGUGAGUAACACGUGAGUAACCUGCCCUUGACUUUGGGAUAACUUCAGGAAACUGGGGCUAAUACCGGAUAGGAGCUCCUGCUGCAUGGUGGGGGUUGGAAAGUUUCGGCGGUUGGGGAUGGACUCGCGGCUUAUCAGCUUGUUGGGGGGGUAGUGGCUUACCAAGGCUUUGACGGGUAGCCGGCCUGAGAGGGUGACCGGCCACAUUGGGACUGCGAUACGGCCCAGACUCCUACGGGAGGCAGCAGUGGGGAAUAUUGCACAAUGGGCGGAAGCCUGAUGCAGCAACGCCGCGUGCGGGAUGACGGCCUUCGGGUUGUAAACCGCUUUCGCAUGUGACGAAGCGUGAGUGACGGUAAUGGGUAAAGAAGCACCGGCUAACUACGUG